GGGAUUGUGGCUCAGUGGUAGAGCGCUUGCCUGGCACGUGUGAGGCACUGGGUUCAAUUCUCAGCACCA
rnacentral:tRNA from 1 species